GUUUAUAUGCAGGAGUUGAAUAACACAAGGAGCAACUCCACAAUCCUUUGCUGAGAAAAUCGUCUUUUGUUAUAAUUGAGGGACUUAAUUUAUGGCUUAAGGAAGGAAUUCUUGAUAUUCUUUUGAUGAGGAGGUUAAUUUCUAUUGAUAUAGGGUUUUUUUUUUCUAAAAUACUUUUUUUGUUCUUCAAAAUUUUUUAUGUAGGGUAUAUUGUAUAGUUAACGAUUUUGUAUAGAAGUUACUAUCUCUUUCUUAUUUUAUUAUUAUUGAUUCACUAAUUAAAGUUAGUUUUAUGAAUUCUGUUUGAAGAUAUAUUUUACUUAAAAUAAUGAAAUCAAAAGUAUUUAUAAAUUUUUUUCUUUACACACAGGUAUAUGAAGGUCUAAAAAGUGUCUGGGAAGAUUGUAGAUAAGGGACGCUGCAUUGGCACAUGAGGAAGCAACAUGCUUGUCUUUUUUAGUUUACCAUUGUUCAUGUAUUUCAAUUAGACUUUUUAUGCUUUAGUUAUUUC
rnacentral:lncRNA from 1 species